rnacentral:lncRNA from 1 species
AUGGAUUGUGAAGUUAUCCCCUCCAGAGCCGAAGAAGUCCGGAGGAGGCGAGUGCACGGUCAAAGCCGGCCCCACCGAAGGAACUUUCUGGGCAGAGUUUUUGUAAAGAGAAAAGGUUUCCAAAGACAUUUGAGAAGCUACUGGACCAACUAUGGAAUCAGAAUGUACUGCAUUAGUGCCUAUCCUAGAUUUGUGAUGUGAUGGAAUAACUCAAUGGAUGGAGAUACUACAAUCAUCCCAAUGCCCCAGGAAGUUCAUUAUUAGGAUAACCUCAUCCUCCUUUAGGAUCUCAUCAGCCUUGGUACUCCACGUCAUUACUCCCCUCUGCUUCUUACAUUGAAGGGGUGUGUGUGUGUGUGUGUGUGUGUGUGUGUGUGUGUAAUGAACUCUGAAUUUCUACUUAAGGAGGAAGCUCAGCUCUGAUAACUUCUCAUUUCUCACCAAGCUACACCAUGUUGGGUAUUCUCUUACUUUUCCACCAUCCCCCAUGCCCUUUUCAGCUUCUUUUUUAUAUUAUUUCCCAUUAGAUUGGAAGCUCCUUGAGGGCAGGGACUAUUUCUUUUCUGUGUGUAUUUGUAUCCCUUGUGCUUAGCUCACUGCCUGGCACAUAGUAUGCGCUUAAUAAAUGCUGAUUGAUUGAGAAAGAAAGCA